AAGUCGUAACAAGGUUUCCGUAGGUGAACCUGCGGAAGGAUCAUCGUAGGAUAUUUUGUGGGUCUCUUUUUUACAAUUCCCAACAAACCUUUGGGGUGCCAUUGACUGAUGUGAUGGAGUUUGGUUUUGGAGUAACAAAAACAAAACUUUCAACAACGGAUCUCUUGGCUCUCA
rnacentral:misc_RNA from 1 species